AUACGUAGGGGGCGAGCGUUGUCCGGAAUGAUUGGGCGUAAAGGGCGCGUAGGCGGCCUGUUAAGUCUGGAGUGAAAGUCCUGUUUUCAAGAUGGGAAUUGCUUUGGAUACUGAUGGGCUUGAGUGCAGGAGAGGUUAUCGGAAUUCCCGGAGUAGCGGUGAAAUGCGUAGAGAUCGGGAGGAACACCAGUGGCGAAGGCGGGUAACUGGACUGCAACUGACGCUGAGGCGCGAAAGUGUGGGGAGCAAACAGGAUUAGAUACCCUGGUAGUCCACGCUGUAAACGAUGAAUGCUAGGUGUAAGAGGUAUCGACCCCUUUUGUGCCGGAGUUAACACAAUAAGCAUUCCGCCUGGGGAGUACGGCCGCAAGGUUGAAACUCAAAUGAAUUGACGGGG
rnacentral:rRNA from 1 species